CAUAACUCAUGCUCGAGUAUGAGAGCAUGAUGUCAACUAUUUCUUAAGAGCUUGCUUGAUUCUUUCUUUUUUAUCAUACCAAUUUGUUGAGGUGUAUAUGGAGCUAUAAUUUAAUGUACAAUCACUGAAUAUUAGAAAUAUGUAGAUUAUAUUAUUCUCCUCCUCUAUUUAGGUAGUAGGUCGGUUAACGAUUUAUUUGAUUUGUUCGGAUUUGAAUUUUUUUCGUCUCUAAUCGUUAUCCGAAUUGAUCCAAAUUUCAAUUUUUCUAACUAAUCCAAAUUCAACUGAAUUCAGUUCGGUUCGGAUUUGGUUGAAAACUCUAUAAAGCAAAUUCAGUCGAGCAACAUUUUUGCUUAGUUUUACUUCUUCUUUGUCUUCAGGACAACCAUUUGGAACUCGCUAUUUCAAAGACAGCUAAGAGAGUCGUAGAGUUUGUGUUGAUUACUUGGUUCCUAUUGAUGGGUCAAUUUCAAUUCUAAUCAUGAAUCCAUUUCUACUAAUAGACCAUUUCCUAUUAAUGGCAUCAACAACGCAAAAUAGAAAAAGGUUCUAGAGGCUUUUAGAACUAUAAUAUAUUUUUUGUUUGCCGCAUGUGCCACUAUAUAACACGGUCACAAGACCUCUCAAAAAUCAAAUUAGUGAAAUAUCGGCUAUCCUCAAGUACCUGGCUAUCCUCAAGUUCUAGAGGUUUCUAGAGGCUUUUAGGGCAUAUGUCGGCUGUGGAAUACCGGGCUAUCCUCAAGUACCGGCUGAUUGUACCCUUUUUCCCAGUUGAUGACCCAUGUCCCGUAUGUCGGAAGGUUUGAUUGGAUUCUUUUGGGGAGCAUGCAGUCCAUUGCAAAGAAUUACCGGGCUUUAAAUAUCGACAUGAUUUAGUUGGCGAUGUGUUGCAUGAUGUCCUUAAGCGGGCAGGGAUCUCGGCAAAAAAGGAAGCCCCGGUGAACUUCUUGACCGAUCCAUUAGAAGGGAGAUCCACCAUACGGCCCGCUGACAUUCUUGUUUUUGGAUGGGAAGGAGGGAAACACGCGUGCGUCGAUUUGACAGGUGUGUCUCCCCUCGUUGGGCUAAGGGACCACGGGUUUGUGGCGAGCCAAGCGAUAACCAAGGCGGAGGCGGGCAAAGUAGCUAAGCACGAAAAAGCUUGCAUCGAGAAUCAGCACGUGUUCAUCUCGUUCGCUUUCGAUACCUUUGGCGAUCUCGCCCCUGAUGCGGUGCGAAUCCUCAAGCAGGUUCAGCAGGUGGUAAGUAGUACUCCACGCAUGUUAAGUGUGACAACUGGCACUUUUCCACAUAUCCCGGACAAUGUUAAACAGUAAUUUGUGCAUUAAUGAUUGUGCCUGAUUUAAUUAAUGACAUGAAUGAUUUUCUGAA